rnacentral:rRNA from 1 species
UACGUAGGUGGCGAGCGUUGUCCGGAUUUACUGGUCGUAAAGGGAGCGUAGGCGGACUUUUAAGUGAGAUGUGAAAUACCCGGGCUCAACUUGGGUGCUGCAUUUCAAACUGGAAGUCUAGAGUGCAGGAGAGGAGAAUGGAAUUCCUAGUGUAGCGGUGAAAUGCGUAGAGAUUAGGAAGAACACCAGUGGCGAAGGCGAUUCUCUGGACUGUAACUGACGCUGAGGCUCGAAAGCGUGGGGAGCAAACAGGAUUAGAUACCCU